GCCUGAGGGGCUCAGUCGGUUGAGCGUCUGACUUCAGCUCAGGUCAUGAUCUCACGGUUUGUGGGUUCGAGCCCCGUGCCGGGCU
rnacentral:tRNA from 1 species